rnacentral:rRNA from 1 species
GAAGUCGGAAUGCGCUAAGGAGUGUGUAACAACUCACCUGCCGAAGUUACUAGCCCUGAAAGUGGAUGGCGCUGAAGCAUCGUACUUAUACUUAACCGUCGGGACAGUAGCAACAUUUGUUUCAUAUAUGUAUGUCCAAGUGUUAUUAGGUCCCGACGAGUAGGAUGGUCGCAACGGUAAGCGCAAAAGGAUUGGGCGUGAGCCUGUCUGGAGCCGCCGUUGGUGCAGAUCUUGGUGGUAGUA